CGAGCAUAAAUGUGACCGGCCGCGGCUCCGGCACAGUCAACGCCUGCCUCCUCUCGAGCGUCCUCAGCGCAGCCGCCGCCCGCGGAGCCAGCACGAACGAGCCCAGCACCGGCCGGAUGGAGCGUCCGCAACCCGACAGCAUGCCCCAGGAUUUGUCAGAGGCCCUGAAGGAGGCCACCAAGGAGGUGCACACCCAGGCAGAGAAUGCUGAGUUCAUGAGGAACUUUCAGAAGGGCCAGGUGACCCGAGACGGCUUCAAGCUGGUGAUGGCCUCCCUGUACCACAUCUAUGUGGCCCUGGAGGAGGAGAUUGAGCGCAACAAGGAGAGCCCAGUCUUCGCCCCUGUCUACUUCCCAGAAGAGCUGCACCGCAAGGCUGCCCUGGAGCAGGACCUGGCCUUCUGGUACGGGCCCCGCUGGCAGGAGGUCAUCCCCUACACACCAGCCAUGCAGCGCUAUGUGAAGCGGCUCCACGAGGUGGGGCGCACGGAGCCCGAGCUGCUGGUGGCCCACGCCUACACCCGCUACCUGGGUGACCUGUCUGGGGGCCAGGUGCUCAAGAAGAUUGCCCAGAAAGCCCUGGACCUGCCCAGCUCUGGCGAGGGCCUGGCCUUCUUCACCUUCCCCAACAUUGCCAGUGCCACCAAGUUCAAGCAGCUCUACCGCUCCCGCAUGAACUCCCUGGAGAUGACUCCCGCAGUCAGGCAGAGGGUGAUAGAAGAGGCCAAGACUGCAUUCCUGCUCAACAUCCAGCUCUUUGAGGAGUUGCAGGAGCUGCUGACCCAUGACACCAAGGACCAGAGCCCCUCACGGGCACCAGGGCUUCGCCAGCGGGCCAGCAACAAAGUGCAAGGUGAGAGCAUCCAGGAAGGGGCACUUCCUCUGGGCUACAUAUGGAGGGACUUGGCUGUCUGACUGUAGUAUCUCUAUGCCUCUGUUCUCUGAAUGUUUGGUGGUGGUGGGUGUUGUUUCCUGCUGCCCCACCCCACUGCCUCUGUAAGGACAGGUUCUCGCUAUAUUGCCCAGGCCAGUCUUGAACACCUGACUUCAAGCAAUCCUCUUGCCUCUGCCUCCCCAAGUGCUGCAGUUACAGGCGCGAGCCACCAUGCCAGCCUGAAUGUUUGUUGUUCUUGUUUGAGCUGGAGUCUCACCCAGGCUGGAGUGCAGUGGCGCGAUCUCAGCUCACUGCAACCUCUGCCUCCUGGGUUCAAGCAAUUCUCCUGCCUCAGCCCCCCGAGUAGCUGGGAUUACAGGCGCCCACCACCAUGCCUGGCUAAUUUUUUUUUGUAUGUUUAGUAGAGAUGGGGUUUCACCAUGUUGGCGAGGCUGGUCUCGAACUCCUGACCUCAGGUGAUCCGCCCACCUUGGCCUCCCAAAGUGCUGAGAUUACAGGCGUGAGUCACUGUGCCCGGCCACCUGCGUGUUUUUGUAUGAGAAGUGGAGUGCAGGCAAAAGGACCUGGGGUCAACCUUCAGCGUGUGGCUCUGGGCAAGCCAUGAGACUUCUCCCUACCUCAGUUUCCCCACCCGUAAAAUCCAGUGAGGUUCAGCUAAUUCUAGCUUAUUGGCUCAGAAGUGCACAAGAACCCCUCAGAAAUCAUGGGAAACUCCUGCCCCCUUAAUUUAGACUCCUUUUUAGGCCUUUGGUCCCCUGAUGUUGGCCAGGGAGUUGGGGACCUGUAUCCACCUAUGAACCCACCACAGGAAAAUGUCCCUUCUGAGUCUUGUUGUGUGUGAGCCCCUCCCUCAUGUGCCUAAGAACGAUCGAGGCUGGCUAUACUGAAACAUCUUGGAAACUUCCAAAAAGACCAAAGUGCUCCACAAAAUGUACCCUCACUAAGCCUAAAACACUGAGGGAGGGAGUGUGGCUUUGGGAUGGGUAGCAAUAAAGAGGUAAGGCUUAGCUACCUCCUGGCAGGUUAUAUUAGGCCUCCCCUCCUGUGCCACCCUAACCUACCUGGCUUGUGGCUUUCUCACUUGUGCCAGACCACACAGACCCCUCUGCUAGGGGUUUGUAACCCCGGAGGGCUUGGCUAUCUGGUGGGGUAGGGAGACGUCACCCUAAUGAAGCAGUUCUCAAAGUGUGGUACCCUGGCUGUGGGAGGUGGUAAUCCUAGUAUCCCCUCAAUGGGGUCUGUGAGGACAAAGCAUUUUUAUAACACUACUACUAUUUUUUUGUUUUUUUUUUUUUCAUUUGAGACAGUCUUGCUGUCACCCAGGCUGGAGUGCAGUGGCAUGAUCUCGGCUCACUGCAAGCUCCGCUUCCCAGGAGAAUCUCCUAAGUCCGGGAGGCAGAGGUUGCAGUGAGCCGAGAUUGCACCACUGUACUCCAUCCUGGGCGACAGCGAGACUCC